rnacentral:lncRNA from 1 species
AUAUUAUUGAGACAUUAUUUUACAACUGAAUAUCUUUUUUGUCACUCACCCUUUCUAUCUUUUAAGUAAGAUAUUGUUUAUUCUUCAUGUAAUCAAAGGUACAAAGCCAGCAGAAGACUCACAAACAGUGGAAAUAAUAGCAACAUCACCACAUACAACAGGGCAAGUUUCAGAGAAGCACAUAAGUAAAUAAAUACAGAUGCUCAUGUGUAUGUGUGUGAAAUGAGAUUAUUGUAGUUUCUGUGUAUCAAAUUCACUCAAGACUUUGGUCAAACCUAUAAUAGAAUCCACAUGGUCAAGGUAUGCAGUGGAAAUGAAUUCAAAAGACAUGUGGUGAGAAGCAAACUUAACUGCAUAGCCAUGUCUGCAAGUACACACAUGCAUAUAUAUAUAUAUAUUAUAUAAAAUCUGUUCUGUCUGUCUGUGUGUGUGUCUUCUAGGAUCUCGGGCAUCCGAUUGCGCUCAAAUUUGAUAUGUAGAUACCAACGGUAUCAGGCAUGUAUAAGUCUUGAAAAAAAUUACAAAAAUCGAUUCCAGGUGAGAAUGUGAUCGAUAAAGCCGUGGGAACAUGCAUUUGUAUGCGCAAGUACAUCUGCUGUUGCGAUCGAUACUACGCGUACGCAAGAAAAAUGCACGUGCAGUUUGCAAAAAAAAAGCCGGCUGGCUUGAAAUAAUGCCACAAAAUGGGAUGGUCGGACGGUUGAAAUGUUUGACAACUCAGCACCGUCCAUUGGACAGGGAGCAUUUUGCUCGUAUGUAUGUAUAUAUAUAUAUAGGUGAAAUAAACAUCAGAGAUGCUUUGCCUCACACUGCAAUUGUAGGAGCUAUUCAGAGAUCUUGAAAUCUCUUCUAAAUCCAUCAUAAUACUGAAAAGCCUUCAAUAUCAGUAGCAGAUAUCUCAGAGUCACAAGCAUUUUGUAUGCUUCAUCUGAAUGGGGCUAAUUUCAGCUACCAUGCUUAUCUUCUUGAUAAAUUUUUUUCAGUUGUCUGGGUUCAAGCCAACAGUGCAGUCAUCUAGCUGGGAAAUUGCAGCAGCUAGCUUCAAUGGGAAAUGAGGCUGCAUGCCAUCCCUUGACAAAGGCAUUUUCAACUAAAUCCCGAUAUUUUGUUUUCUUUACCUGGUGGGAAAUAUUGAGUGUCCUUCCAAGGUACUGUGAGCUUGACCACAAUGAUAGUUUUCGUAUUCCUGAAGAGCAGGAAUAUGUCUGGUGGGAGUGAUGUUACCACUAUCAACUCUGGGAAGACAAGUCUGACCUUCAGGUCCUCUUACCAUUGCUUUCACUGUGGAAGUUUUGUUGCCUUCCUUUAGGAAUGUUAUACCCCUUGAUGUUAUUAACCUUCACCCUUUGCAGAUUAGUCCACUUGGUGAUUUCUGCAAGAACCUUGUCAUGUCUCCACUUGUAUCGGCCUUCUCCUAGGGCAUCAACUCAAAAUGUGGUUCAGGGUGAAAAGAGUUACCUCAUACUACUUGCAGAAGGGGUCAUGAUAAUCCAAUAUCAUCUUUAAUUUAAAAAUAGAAGGGAAUUCGAAUGUCAUCUCUAGUAAGUCGAGCGACCAUGUAGAAGCUUGCUGUUGAUUCUUUCGGCGAAGUCGUGUAUUGAGCACGUUGUAAAUAAGUGGGUAGUAGGGAAUAGAAUUCAAAGGGUAGAGGUUUAUGAGCGUUUGAGUACAUAAUGAACUGCAAUGUUUGCUGAAUAGUCCGGUUGAUUUUGAUGGGACUAAUUAUACGUCAGAGAGAAUGUCUAGGGCGAGUCUUCGUAUGGUUUUUGAGUAUGUGCAUCGGAUGAAUAUAAGUAGUCCUGGAAAUGAUAUCAAUGUGGUAUACACACACCGAAUAAGUUAAAUUCUAUAUUUUGCUUUGGACAUAGAUUGUGAUGUCUUAUAACGUACGUUUUCUUCUUCUUUUUUGUUAGAUUAAAGAAUUUAAAUGACUUGGUUGCCUCUCUCACGUAUAUUAAAGGGGGAAACGGGGAUAAAAUAUAUAGAGAGUCGGACAAAAUGCUUGCGAUAUUUAAGUUACGGCCCUUUACGUUUCGAGUUCAAAUUCAGACGAAGUCAACUUUGCCUACCCUCCUAUUGAGAUUUAUUUAAUAUUCCUGUAAAGCACACCAAAUAUGAAAUUAUAUUAGAAGACUGAAACAAGUAUGGACUUGAAUAUAUAUUUUUUUAUAUCAUAUAAUGCCACUUGACUGUCAACUGGCUCCUCUAAUUAUUAAACGAACAUAUAAACAUUACUAUAACGACUACAAAAACGAAGCGGAAGGAAGUGAUUUAUGCAUAGUCAAAUAGAGUAACGUCCCUUGUCUAAGAACUAUAUAUUAAUGUUCACGGCAGCAUUAUCAGGACUUGUUCCUCAACUUACCACUUAGUUUCGCUUUUCACCUAACAAUUCCUAUUUUUACACUCUAGCCGGUAGGGACACUGGUAUUUCGUUAUACGACCAUAACAUACAACCCAGUAUAUUAAAGUUAUAUUAUAAGUCAAUACGGUGUUAGCAGUGCUAUUAAAUUACUUAUUAAAGUUACUUUCUACUGAUUUUCUAUAAAAAUAGAAUCAGUACUGGAAGUUACACUGUGGUAUUUGAUAGCUUUUAGGCAAUGUGCUCGUGGAUGAUUGAUGAGUUGGAUGUUGUGUUGAAGAAGGAGCAAGAACUCAUGAAAUAUGCAUAUACACUCAUUAUUUUUCUAUUUUCGAUAGAAUUGUUUACAUGGACAUAUUAGUAUACGAAGCGUCAUAACUUCCAGUGCUGGCUCUAAUUUCUGUAGGAAAUCUGUAGAAAUAACUUUAAUAAGUGACUUUCUCUUUAUACCUAUUUAUUACACUUGGUUGCAUGUAGAUAAAAAAAAAUGUAAGGAUUUCGUUUUUUUAAUUUUUUUACGGAGGGAAUUUAUAUUAUCUCAUUUUUGAUAGCUAAUUUUGUUGAAUUUCUACCAAUACUUGAAGUCUUUCAUAUCUUUUACUGUUUAUUUUCCCCCAAAAUAUAGCUGUGACAUACAGAUGAGAGCUGAACCAUCCUGAGUUAAAGGAUUCGCAAUCUAGACUAGGCUCAGAAAGUUUACCCCACCAUAGUGGGUUACACCAUGGUUCAUCUGCUUUGUGGCAGAAGUAGGAAGAAAGAGUGAGAGAAAGUUGUGGUGAAAGAGUACAGCGGGGUUCACCACCCACUGUUGCUGUUAUUUUUGCAACUCGAGCAAACCGGCCAACAAAUUUUCCAUAAUUUUAUACAAUUUUUUUUUUUCGUGAAAUUCGCACAACAAAAACUUUUGUGAGUUUGUUAACUUCCCAUGAGUUGCUAAAAUCGUCGUCGCCACUAUACGUUGGAUUGUUAUAACGCCCAUUUCGGUAUACAGUAUACUAAGUAAAACCAGUAAAAACACGACAAUCUCUUAAUUCUUUGUUACCCACAAGGGGCGAAAUACAGAGGGGACAAUACAAGGACAGACAAAACAUGCAGCGGGGAAGAUAAAAAAUAAAGUGGAUGAAUGAUGGGAUGAUAUUAUUUGGAUGUGGGGAUGCGAUGGCUACUCAAACCCCAUACUCGAGCACUUCCAUUUAAUACACUUUUUUAAUAUUUUCUUUCUUUCAUAGUUUAUCUAAAAAUGUUUUACUUUAAAAUAGCUGUCACUUUUAGUGCUUUCACCUCUCUAUAUUCAAUGACUGGAGACAGGAUAUCAAACCAGACCUCCUGCCCUAUGGGGGGCUAAAUUACUGCAACAUUCGUCCUAAACCAAGACUGCCAUGUUAUGUUGGCAAACAAUUUUUACUCCAGAGUACUGCUGCUGAAUAUCUCUGGUUGUGAGAUUUACAAAUAGUAAUUUUCCCUCGUUUAUCCUUUCCUAACGAAUUGUGUGCUUGAGUUUUCUCUCUCUCUCUCUCUCUCUCUCUCUCUCUCUCUCUCUCUCUCUCUCUCUCUCUCUCCACACACAUAUACAUGCUGGCACCUCUCGAGCUGAAUUUAAUAAGAGAAAAAUAAAUGGAGGAGAAAAUAUUAUACUUGACUAUGUAAAAUGAAACGAAACGAAGUUGAGACGGAGUCAUGUAGAGUAACGUCCCUUACUACACUAUUUAUCUAAGCUAAAAAAAAUUUGAAAAUUAUAAUAGUUAAAACUAAAUUUUAAAAAAAGAUUGCAGUUGUUAAGACAAGACAUACAGAUCAAAGCAACUAAAAAAGACAAUGGAAUGCAUUUUAAAAAUUAUGUAAGUUACGAAAAGUAAAUAAAGAUCAACGCUUUUACAUUUCCAUGUAAAAAAGCUUUCGAAUUUAUUUUUAAAAUACGGGUUCAGUGUCACGAAGGAAACGAUUAACGGCAACUUGUUUCCAGUAACUGAAAAAUGCAUUGUCACAAAAUCUCCAAAUCGACAAGUACCAGUUGAACACUGGGUUUGGUGUGAUCAACAUACCCCCACCCAAAACAGUUGGCCUUGUGCCAAAAUUUGAAACCAUUAUUGUUAAGUUGGCCUCCGUGUGCCAGAACAACAAGCUGGCCUCCGUGCCGAUGGCACGUAAAAAGAAGAAACACCAUUCGAGCGUGAUCGUUACCUGCGUCGCCUUACUGGAACUUGUGCUGGUGGUAUGUGAAAAAACAUUCGAUCGAGGUCGUUGCCAGUGCCGCUGGACUGGCUCCUGUGCAGGUGGCACAUAAAAAAAACACCAUUUGAGCGUGGCCGUUGCCAGUACUGCCUGACUGGCCCUCGUGCCGGUGGCACGUAAAAAGCACCCACUACACUCUCGGGGUAGUUGGCGUUAUGAAGGGCAUCCAGCUGUAGAAACUUUGCCAGAUUAGAUUGGAGUCUGGUGCAGCCAUCUGGUUUGCCAGUCCUCAGUCAAAUCGUCCAACCCAUGCUAGCAAGGAAGACGGACGUUAAACGAUGAUGAUGAUGAUGUGGAAAACUGCAGGAAUUAAUGCACUUGACAAAGUGCUUAGCAGUCUUUCUUCUGGAUCUUUAUGAUCUGAGUUCAAAUGCUGCUGAAGUUGACUUUGCCUUCCAUCCUCUUGGGGCUGAUAAAAUAUAUAUCAGCUGAAUACUGGGUUUGAUGUAAUUGACUUCACUUUCCCCUGGCCUUGUAGCAAAGUUCGAAAGUAUUGUUAUUAUUAUUGUUAAGGCGGUGAGCUGACAGAAUCUUUAGCACGCUGGACAAAGUGCUUAGUGGUACUUCACCCAUCUUUACAUUUCUGAGUUCAAAUUCCACUGUGGUCAACCUUACCAUUCAUCUCUUUGGGGCCAAUAAAGUAAGUACCAGUUGAGUACUGGGCUCAAAUGUAAUCGCCUUACCCCCUGCCUCAAUAUUGCUGGCCUUGUGCCAAAAUUUGAAACCAUUUAUUAUUAUUAAGGCAACAAGUUGGCAGAAUUGUUAGAACAUCUGACAAAUGCUUUGCAUUCUGGCUCUUUACAUUCUAAGUUCAAAUCCUGCAGAGAUUGUCUUUGCAUUUCAUUCCUCUAUGAUUAAUGAAAUAAAGUACCAGUUAAGUACUAAGUUGAAUGGCAUCAAUUAACAUUCUCACCUCAAAGUUACAAAAUUGUGCCUAAAUCAGAGACUAUUGUUAUCAUAAUUAGUUGAGGCAGUGAGCUGACAGAAUUUUUGGCACACUGGACAAGAUGCUUGGUGGCAAUUCAUCUUUCUUGAUCUGAAUUCAAAUGCUGCCAAGGUUGACUUUGCUUUUUAUCAACAAAAAAAGUACCAGUCUGAACACUAGGGUUGAUGUAAUCAACUUACCCCCACCUCUAAAAUUGUUGACCUUGUGCCAAAAGUUGAAACCAUUAUCAUUAUUAUUUUUAAUUAUCUUUUUUUUUUAAUGUGGUGAGCUGGCAGAACUAUUAGCAUACUAGACAAAAUACCCCAGUGGCAUUUCUUUCAGGUUUACCUUUCAUCAUUUUGAGACUGAUAAAAUAGAUACUAAUCAAGCUCUGGGGUCAAUGUAACUGACUAGCCCACUCUCCUAAAAUUUUAGGACUUGUACCUGUAGUAGAAAGGAUUAUUAUUAUUAUUAAAGUGGCCAGGCUGGCAGAUUCAUUAGAGUUGGAAAAAAUGCUUUGCAGUAUUUUCUUCCAGCUCUUUGGAUUCUAGUUUCAAAUCCCACCAAGGUCGACUUUACCUUUCAUCCUUUCAGCGUCAAUAAAAUAAGCACUAGUUGAGUACUGGAUUCGGUGUAAUUAACUUAAUCCUCUCCUCAAAAUUGCUGGACUAACACCAAAAUUAGAUUGACCCCAAAUAGAUGAAAGGCAAAGUUGCCCUCAAUGGAAUUUGUACUCAGAAUGCAGACAACAAGCACCACAAAGCAUUUUAUCCAACACUCAUACAACUCUACCAGUUCGCCAAUCUAGUAUCAGAUUUAUUUGAUGGGAGCUUACCACCUAUACAAUAUGAUGCUCCUUUUCAUCUUAUACUGCUACUACAACAAUCCCUGAACGUCUGAUGUGACCAGGUUAUGUAAUCCCUUAGCCCCAUCUAAUGAUAUGGUCUCUCAUUAAUUUUACUGAUUUCCAGCUACAUAUUUGACUGCCAUUCCUCUUAAUAAUUGCAACCCUAUGGUAACCAAUCACCACUCUUCCAUUAUGAAGGCAUUGUCUUUAGACUGUUCAAAACUGCUGUCUGCUCAGUUGCAAGCAUUCAGACCUGGUUUAGGGUUACCUUCUUCACUCUUUCCCUCCCACCAAUCUCAGAGCCUCCUCCCUACCAUGCCCCUUGUUUAAUGGUUCUGGAUACUGUGCUUUCCUACCUGACUAAAAAAGAAUUAAUUUUAAAAAAUAUAUAUAUAAUGCAUCAGCAGAGGUGAGAAGAAUAAGCAAAUAUGAAGCAUAACACAGAGAUUUUCUUUAAUGAGAAACUAAUUACGAAAACCGAAGAAGCUAAUGGGGAAAUUUUUACAUUGUUGCUUGAUCUGCAUGAAAUAGCAGCAGAAUCUUCUUCAAAUCAAACUCUGCUGUCUUAGAAAAAGGAUAACAUUCUUUUAUUCUUUACUUGUUUCAGUCAUUUGACUGUGAUCAUGCAGGGGAACUUGCCUUAAAGUGUUUUGUGAAACAAUUCAACCCCAGGACUUAUUUUUAUGGUUAGUACUUAUUCUAUUGGUUUCUUUUGCUGAAGUACCAAGUUACGGGGGACGUAAAGAGACUAACACCAGUUGGGGGGAAAAAACACAGACAUAUACGACAUGCUUCUUUCAGUUUCUGUCUACCAAAUCCAUUCACAAAGCUUUGGUCAGCCCAAGGCCAUAAGGCCAUAGUAGAUGACACUUGCUCAAGGUGCCAUGCAGUGGGACUGAACCUGGAACCAUGCGAUUGGAAAGCAAGCUUCUUACCACACAGCUACACCUAUAUUAAAUAAUGCAAUCAAACCUACCCCACUUCCUUGGGGCCUUAAAAGACAGGAAUAUCAUGGUUGGAACACUUGUGUCUUAUCUGAUCUGGUCAAUAAGAGAUGAGCACGAGCUAAACAGUAGCAAUUUGCUGGGAAGUAAUAUACUCAGCAAUGUUAUCAAAGUACAGAUUAGAAAUAGAAUUGCACAUUGGAUAAUGUAGUCCAAUGUAAACAGUGUCUAUGAGACUACAGGCUGAUCUGAGGCUAUUGAAUGACAAAUUAAGAAAAUGAAAGGGGUAUAAGUUUUAAAAUAUAAUCUUUAAAGAAUUCAUCAUUACCAUUUUACAUCUGUCUUCCAUGCUGGCAUGGGUUGGAUGUUCUGACAGGAUCUAAUGAGUCAGAGGGCUGCAUCAUGUUUCAAUGUCUGUUUUAGCAUGGUUUAUGCAGCUUCCUAAUGCCAAAUGGGUGCUUUUUUUUUUCAUGGUACUGGUACUAAUGAGAUUUCCAUGAAGCUUGCAAGACAAAGAAAUACCAUCAACUGAAUGAGGUUAUAGCAGAGAGGGAGGUGGCUUUAUGCCAUGUGUUGACGGGCUAAAAUAUGAUAGAUGGACAGGCUUAGAAGUCUUGCUAUAGAGGAGAUAAAUAGCUACUCCACAUUAUAUAAGAGUAGCUGAAAAAAAAAACAAUGGUGAUGAGGAGUCAGAGUGUACAUUGAAAAUACAAGAAGGUGAGUAUAAGAGAGAAUAUGAGCAAAGAAUUAAGAAGGAUGGAUGGAUAAGUUUAUUAGAAUAAGAGAGGAGAUUGACAGAUGGUUAGGAAUGAUGGCACUCUUAGUUAUUGACAAUCAGUUGAUCUGAUUAAUGGAACAGCCUGCUCAUAAAAUUAAUGCACAAGUAGUUGAGCACUCCACAGACACAUGCAACCUUAACAUAGUUCUCAGGGAGGUAUAGUGUGACACAGAACUCAUUUUUGCUAGUUGGGUGGACUGGAGCAAUGUGAAAUAAAGUGUCAUGCUCAAGGAUACAUGAUAUCAGUAUCAAGGAUACUGAACUCACAACAUUAUGAUUGUGAGUCAAAUGCCCUAACCACAAAGCAUUGUGCCUUCACUGGUUAGUAACGGGUGUAGGGAUGAAUAAAGUGAAUGGAAGAAGGGUGGAGUUGUGAGGGAUGUAAAUAUCUGUAUGGCAGAGGAAAAGUGAUAAGAAUGGAAGUGGCUCAGGAGAGAGGAGGUGAAAAGUGGCAGUGCAGGAAGGGGAGAGAGCAGUAGUAUAACAUUAUAGAAUUGUAAUUUUAAACUUCUAUUACAGUUCGAGGCUGAUAGAUGCCUGGUUAGUGAAUUUCAUAGAGAGAAACUCUAUGGAAGCCCUUCGCAUGUGUGUGUAUACGUGUCUUUGUAUUUAUGUUUGUCCUUCUUUUCCAAUGCUUGAUAACUGGUGUUGAUUUGUUCUACUAUAGCUUCAGGCCAGUCAAAGCCUUGUGAGUGGAUUUGGUAGACAAAGACUGAAAUAUUCCCAUUGUAAAUGCAUGCGAGUGUGUGUCCUUGUCUUGGCAUCAGACAAUAGUUUAUAAAUAAAUAUCAAUGUCAUUUAUUUCCAGAUUUCUGUGAAAACCUGUCCAGCCACGAGGAAAUACUACGCUGCUUGGAAACAGAAGUCUUGCUGUAGAGGAGUUACAUGGUUACCCAUCAUCAUUUAACGUCUGUUUU